GAAAUGCGAUACGUAAUGUGAUCCGCAGGUUUCGUGAAUCAUCGAAUCUUUGAACGCAUCUUGCGCUUUCUGGUAUUCCAGAGAGCAUGUCUGUUUGAGUGUCUUGAACAUGUCAAAAUAUCUCUUUUAAUUAAGAGAUGUUUUGGAUUCUGGAUCUUGCUGGCCUUCUUGUAAGAAGUGUCACGCUUAUCCGCAAUACAUGAGUGUCUGCAUUUUGUAUGGACUGACUUGGUGUAAUAAUUUCAUCUCAUCAAGGAAUUCUUUCGCAAGAAGGAAGCCAUCAGAAUGUGUAAUUGGAACACUACUAAAAAACAUUGAAAUACUUGACUUUUGACCUCAAAUCAGAUAGGAUUACCCGCUGAACUUAA
rnacentral:misc_RNA from 1 species